GACGAACGCUGGCGGCGUGCUUAACACAUGCAAGUCGAACGGUAAGGCCCUUCGGGGUACACGAGUGGCGAACGGGUGAGUAACACGUGGGUGAUCUGCCCUGCACUUCGGGAUAAGCCUGGGAAACUGGGUCUAAUACCGGAUAGGACUCCGGACUGCAUGGUCUGGGGUGGAAAGCUUUUGCGGUGUGGGAUGGGCCCGCGGCCUAUCAGCUUGUUGGUGGGGGGGUGGCCUACCAAGGCGACGACGGGUAGCCGGCCUGAGGGGGUGACCGGCCACACUGGGACUGAGAUACGGCCCAGACUCCUACGGGAGGCAGCAGUGGGGGAUAUUGCACAAUGGGCGCAAGCCUGAUGCAGCGACGCCGCGUGAGGGAUGACGGCCUUCGGGUUGUAAACCUCUUUCAGCACAGACGAAGCGCAAGUGACGGUAUGUGCAGAAGAAGGACCGGCCAACUACGUGCCAGCCGCCGCGGUAA
rnacentral:rRNA from 1 species